rnacentral:tRNA from 2 species
UCCUUCUUAGCUCAGCUGGUUAGAGCACGUGACUGUUAAUCACGGGGUCCCUGGUUCGAGCCCAGGAGAGGGAG